rnacentral:lncRNA from 1 species
CGGGUUAUAAUGUAGGGACAUUGGUUAAGGUAGGGAAAUAUAUGCUAAGUGACUUAAAAUAAUUCAAGAACACCAACCUUAUAACUUCACAAAUCAAGUAUGGAAUAAAUUCCACUUUUCUCCCAACUAUGCCACCAUAAUCAACACAACUCACGGGAUUCAAACAUCACAAAACAGAACUAAACACUCUUUUAUGCUCUCCACUUAUUUCCAACAAACAAAGUCGAUACAAACCCUAGGUUCACACUUUUUCUUUUCUUUUCUUUUCUUUUCCUUUUUUUUCCAACAUUUUUUUUUUCUUUUCUUUUCUAUAACUUUCUAGAGCUUAGUAAAUAGUAACACAACAUCAUCCCUUCUUUUUCAUGACCCACUAUGAAUAUACUCCACAUACAAAUCCCCAUAUACUACAUCACCCCUAUCAUCCGGUUAAAGAAUAAAAGCUAAAUAGGCUCAAAGUGGAUAACGAAUGAUAAUUUUUUCGUUAAGGUUCAGUGUUUGAGAAAAAUUGUGGCUAACAAAAGAAGGCCUAAAAUCAUCUCUUAAUCAUGGGCACAACAACAAUCUCGACACAGAAACCGUGGCAAGUUCUAGAAGAUCACCACAUGCAUGACAAAACCACAACAAAGGAUAAAAUGUGUAUGAUAUACAGUUUUGGCUCAAAUUCUCACAGGCUUAUUCAACGUCAAAAAUCAAGGCUAAAAUCAUUUUUUCAUCAUGCAAAUUAGUUCAAUUAUGCUCAAAUCAUCAAGAAAAAUUGAAAAUCAUGAAUUUUGCAAAAGAAAUCAUCAGGCAUCUACACCAGAAAUCUAAUGGAGCAAUAAUCAACUCAAAAAUAAAUCACACACCACCAACCAAGCAAGAUAAAAUAAUAAAACCAACAAAAAAAAUAAAUAAAAGUGAUACACAUAUCUACUCUCACCCCUCUCCCCCAAACUUAUUACAGAACAUAAGCUCGAAAAUAAGUUUGGAGGGAAGAUGAUAUGUGUGUCACUCCUCACAGAAAAAUAUGCACCACGCUGCAAUCUCCCUAAAAGAAACAAAACAAAGAAAACAAAGAAAAAAAAAACCAAAAGAAAGAAAAAUAAAACAAGAAAACGGUUGGGUUACUGAUGCGUCUUCAACUUUUGGGCCAUUUGGCCCUAUUUUUUCUCUUUUGUUUGUGUCAGUUCAGGUCAUUUCGUUAGGAAACCAUGUCGUAAUGGGGAAGCAGCCCAGUAGAGCAGAAACGGAGAAAAUGUGGUCGGAAUGGGCAUUACCAGCCCAGAUUGCAAUGUCAUGUUUACCAGCAUGGAGCCUAGGCGCAGUACCUCUCAUGUUUAACUUGGGGUAUGGGAACCCGAAGCAAC